CGUACGGCCUUCUACAAUGAGCAAAAUCCAUAUCUGCACAGCUACACUUCCAGAGCCACAAAAUGAAAGAUAUAAAACAAUUCGAAAGGAAAUGAUAAAAGCGUUAUUUAUUGACAAAACAAUGAACCAAAAAACAACUAUGGUACACAGCAACAAACGACAAUAACUCCCUACAGGAACAUACGUAAUGUUGCGAGGUUAAACAUGUUAGUGGGCGCACGACUCUUCUACAAGAGUCAUAAUAUUGUUUUUAAAAUUUGGGGCAAAUAAAAAAAAUAUCAACUGGCAUCAUUUGCAUAAAUGACUUUAAAUUUUCUUUUCGAUCACUUCAAGUUCGCUGUCUUGUGUUCCUGGGGUAAUGUUGAAUUCUUUGUUUUCAACAUUUUUUAUCGUGACAAUUUCACAUUUAUCCAUUGUAUCAUCGGAUUUGAAAAGGCUUUCGACAUCAUUGGAUGUUGUAGAAAUUAUCUUUAUGUUCUGUGUUACAUUGUCAAAAGAUUUUUCGUAACAAGAAAAUAGUUUGAGAUUCUUCUUUUCAGGUACAUCUAAGACAUACAUCCCCUCAGACUUUUCGUCAACUUUAUCAUUAAUAUUUGUCGAAAGAUGAUAAUCGUUAUGAACUGAAACGCAUAUAUCAUAACCAUGAGGGAUUUCUUGACGUUCAUUGUAUGAUUCAUACGGCUUUAAAUAUUCGGAGUUCAUUUUACAUUCGUAAUCUAAAUCAGCAGAUGAAUUUGAAUUUUCGUCUGUUGAUGUCUGGUAUACUUGAAGAUAAUCUGUGUUUUCAUUAAAAGAUGAAUUCGAACUGUCUGUGUCACAAUCCUCAAUAUUUACUGUUUCAAAUAUGUUAAUUCUCAUGUCGUGUGUAUUGGCACAAUCUGACAGUAUGUUAUUGCUAUUCACCAUUGAUUCAUCUAUUUCGUCAUAUAUUUCCAAAUAUUGAUGAUCAUUAAUUUCGCUAUGUUGUGUUCUUUGUUCAUUUGAAACUAUGUUUCUUUCUGAUACUCUUCUUUUAUUUCGCAUUACAAUAUAGCCUACUCCCAU
rnacentral:lncRNA from 1 species